rnacentral:lncRNA from 1 species
AGAGUGGAGGCUCCUUUAAUCUUGACAGCCCGAAUGCUACAGGGGUCACAGCACAUCUGCUCCGGAGGAAAGACAAAGGGCAAGCACAUCUCAGGAUGGGGCAAUAUUUGGUGAGAACCAUAUUGGAUUCUACCAAAUUACAAAUAUAUUCCAGAUUUUACCCCAAUCCUGGUUUCCCACCUUGAAAAUGAGUGCCAGGGGUCAUAAGGAAGACUGAAAGAGAACAUAGAGAGUUCAGUGCAAAUCUAUUGCCGUUACCAGACAGUAAUUCAACAGCUUCAUCUUUGAACCAUUAGGUUGGCCUGAUCACUCACUCACCACUCCCUGCAACUCCAUGGAGAAGAUAUAAGCUGUCAAAAAUGUAUUUAGGACCUUUGGAGAUGUGAAUGAAAACAGCUGUCUGAACAAGUGGUACCCUAACUAGCGCGGCUGUGAGUCUGAAGCUUGAAAUGGGGAAGUUGGUCAGCAUGGGUGAGCUAUGCAGCCCAGGUGAAGGGAUCCUCAAGCAGCAGCCUCUGCCUUUUUGUCUUCUCCUUUUCACGGAGAUGACAAGAAUCACCCCAGGACUUAUCUUCUGAGGUGCUCAGCUGUGGUCCCAGUGCUGCUUUGGUCACUGCUAUGGCGGGUGGAAGCAGGAUGGGUGAAGUCAUUCUGGAGAACAAGCAGCAACAGGACAGAUCUUAGAUUUCUGGAAGAGCUUCACCAUCCUGAACACACGUGGGAGAAAAGUGAGUCAAAUUGAGAAAGCAGAGCAAAAGGGUGGGGCAGGGGUUGGACACACAGAAACCAUUCCCCUCCCCUACCUUUUGUUCCCUCAAAAUGGACCUCAUAGCUUCGGGAGGGAAUUAGAAUAUAAAAUGGGAUGGCCAACCAAAGGAGAGCUUAUUGGUAGAAAAAUGUGAUGGCUUCCAACCGGCCUUCCACCACUUCCAUCCCAAAGCUUCCAGCCCAAAGCUUCCAGCCCAAAGCUUCAUCUGACCCCUAAGACUGGCCUGAGUAUGAUUAGACCACCAGAAUCAAUAAAAUAUGGUGAGCUGGGUGGUUACUCAAUAAGGAAAUACAGGUUGAGCAUGCCUAAUUUGAAAAUGCCAAAUCUGAAAUGCUCCAAAAUCCAAAACUUUCUGAGUGCCAACAUGACAUAGUGACACCUUUGCUUUCUGAUGGCUCAGUGUACACAAUCUUUGUUUCAGGCACAAAAUUAGUACAAAUAUUGUAUAAAAUUACCUUCAGGCUAUGUGUAUAAGAUGUAUAUGAACCAUAAAAACAUCUUGUGUUUAGACUUGGGUCUCAUCCCCAAGAUAUCUCAUUCUGUAUGUGCAAGUAUUCCAAAAUCCCAAAACCCAGAAAUGCAAAGUACUUCUGGUCUCAAGCAUUUUGGGUAAGGGGUACUCAACCUGUAGCACAUGGAUGUGAUGCUGUGGAGGCCCCACGACCCAAAGUGUCUUAUGGGUCAUAACACAAACGGGCUUAAUCCCACUCUUAAGAGGUUUAUCUUGGGUGGGGGAGCAGCCCCUUCACCAAGGGCUCUGUCUGACAUUAUGACUAGAGGCCACCAAAAGACAAUGUAAAUGACAAUGUCACUGAUGACUACUGACAGUGGGAACAUCCACCAAACCUAGGGACUUUACUCUGAUGUCUCAUGUAUUCAUGCCUGUCUAAUUCCCUGAGCAGCUAAACUAUCACUUUCAGUGAUUAUCACUCUGGCAAAAUCUAAGUGGACUCCCAGGGGGUGGGGGAAGAAAACUGCAUGUGCAUACAUAAGAGUGGAAGCUGCGUAAAUGUGUGUGUGCUUGCAUUUGUGCAUGCAAGUGGUGAGAAGCUGAGGGUCUGAGCAGUUUUCCGAGACUCCCCAGAAUACAGAAGGCUUGUGGUGCAUAUGGGAGAACUGACAAGUAUACCAGAAGGUGAGGAAAUGGCUGGAAGCAACACUAAUGCCACUCCAUCUGGAAAGAGGGGUACUGUUUAGUACGUCUGGAAAGCAUUAUUUCUGCAAAUAGCUCAACCUCUAUCAACUUUCAGGCAGGGAUCCCGAUCUGCUGCCAAAAUGAGAUCUCCCUUACGGCAAUGUGGUGGGAGCGGCUGAGCAAAUGAACUAAUAGCACAAAGCAGGAAAUCUGUAGAGAUGGCAGCCGGUAAGGUACCACACAGCAAGCACCUGCUUCUCUCCAAAAAGACAGCCGGGGCUUCGCAUCACAUUAGGCCAGGGCUGCACUGGGGGAGAGCCGAGCCUGGUGGGAUUUUUGGGCUCAGCAGCCAUUUCCAACAAUUUCUCACAAUUUUUGGGCUCAGAAAAGCCCCAAAUAGAGUUAGCCAAAUGGCUUUCCUGCAUUGAUUUUUAUACCCGUGGGUAUUUUGAAGGAAAUUAAAUCCAUGUGUCUCUGAUUCGGUUGCCAUUAGCACAUGAAAACGCUGUUUUGUGAGAAUUAUGGUAUGCCGUGGGUGCCUUCGCACAGUGCUGCUAAAUGCCAUAAAACCGUCUAGCCAGACACGGAGGUGCAAGAAGCCGGGUGCGUUCUGCUAUACGCCAUUUCCCUGCCUGUCCAGAAGGCAACAUGUUUUUGUCAUUUGCAUCCUUUCUGAAUGUAGCACAACAUGUUUUCUCGUGCCUGUUAAUCAUCUAUCAUUUCCAAUUUGAAUGAAGCCGUAUUAGUGUAGAUGAUGAGAAAUUGCCCUUAACCACUAAUAGCUGGACAGGAUUCAUAGGAAAGCUGCCACAAGGACUGGUGCUGGCCUCCAGGUCCAGGGACAAAGAGGCCAGCUGAAAAGUAUCCCCAGAAAGGCCAUUCAGGCUCCAGUUUGCAACCUUUAGAAGCAGGUGAGCAUGCACUGGCUGUGAGAGAGGGUGAGGAACCCUGGUCUGAGAUCAGGGCUGGGGGGGCUCCUCUGGGCCCCACUACUGACUGCCUCUGAACUUCCUCUGUAUUGAUCACCUGGUUGAAUGCCAUCAGUUUAGGGCUCUUUCUGGGCCUGACAUUCUAUGAAUUAAAAUCUAGCCCCAAUACGUCCUUAGUGAUCAACUUCACUGCAUGGUUGCAUGUAUUAAAUCCCUACUGUGUUCAAUGUUUUAUGCUCAAUGUUGAGGGCAGAAAGAUGAAAAACCUGUUUUUGCCUUUGGAGGGAAGAUGAAAAAAGGAAGGGGAGAGGACUGGUUAUUGACUGUGAGUCAGGCAGAGUGUGGGAGCUUUAUUCGUCAAUCUCACAUCAUUGGCAAGAAUUUUCUAACGUAUGCAUUAUCACCCCUAUUUGAUGAAUGGAAUUUUACUGAGUCAGGAGGGGUGAGUAAUUUGCUCUUGGACAAGAGCUUGGAAAUGUAGGAGUUGGGAUAUGGGGUCUCUUUUCUAUGACUCCAAAUUUCGUGUUAUUUUCUCUCCUCCUUACUGUCGCUUAUAAUUUAAUGUGAUAAGUUUCAAAUAUACACAAAUCUAAUAUUUUAUAUCUAGAAUUACAGGGAGGGAGUGCCUAAUUCUGCUUUGGGAACAUUGGAAGACUUCACUAAGAAAAUGACAUUUGCUUUGAGUUUUGAAAGAUGAGCAGAAGUUGACCCAGUGGAGAUGGGAGAUGGGUUGGGGAUGGCAGAGGGAACAGUGUGUGCAAAGAGAUAGAGUGAAAAGGGGGCAAAGUGUUUCAGGAACUGAAAUCAUGCCACUUACCUCAUUUGUGUAACACUGAUUAAUGUAUAAACUGCUGAAACAUUUCAGGUCACAUUUCUCCUAUAGACACAAUUAUAUCUUGAUUGUACGUUUUCUGGAGCUCCAGUCUAGUCUCAUCAUUCCAUCUACUGGGCUAUGGAGGAUCAUCUUUGAGAUCAGGCGGCAUCUCAGCAAGUGGCUUGGUUGACUUUGACUUUGGCAGCCUUGACUAACUCAGUGGAAAAGGGGUUUUCUACAUUUACCUCCAUUCAUGUUAUUGUCUACAAUGUUUUGCUCCUCACUUGCAAUAGAAGAAAGAAAGUUAGUCAAGAGCACAGCUGGUGGCAAUUUUGCUCUGAAUUCAGAGGUUGUGGAGCAAACAGGAAAUUUCAUGCUGCAGCCGUGGUGGAGGCCAACUGAGCUUUAGUGACUUACAUGGUGUGUCCACAACCUGCUUCCCGUGAAAUUGCCUAUAAGCAUGGACAACCUGGGAAGCUGCGGCUGAGCUGCUUCUCUAGAAGCCUCUCUGGAUUUCAUAACUAGGCUCCUUCUAGCAUUUAGUAAAACUGUACUCUCCUAUGCCUUAGAUUGACUGAACUUGGCCUGUGCCCUAUUUUAAAAGUCAGCUGGGCUUCUAAAGCAUGAGAGUAGGCAGUCCAUGGAGAGUCGUCUUCUCCCAUCGUAAAGAUUCAGGAGAUCUCUCAACUCCUGGCAAGGAGUAUGCUGUGUUCCUGGCUGAACGAACUCACUUACCUCAGUCUAGAACUUAACCUGAGGCACGCACACCUUUGGUAAUGUUUGUGAUUCUAAUGAUGUCUAAACUGAUCCUCCUGGCCUGGUGUCAGCCACUUGUGAGAAUCUCACACUCCAUUUAGACUCAGGAGACCUACUUCUCAUCCAGAAUAUUUUCCUAAAAAAAAUAAACUUCAUCCUGUGUCAAAUGAAAGGGUCAAACUCAACAAUCACUAAGGUCCUAUCAGCUCUAGAAUGUUCUAAUUUAUCUUAUUCUAGCUUUGCUGGAAGUUGAGACCAGCUGUUUACUCUCAUUAAGAGAGAGUCUCACUCUCCCAUUAUCAUUCUAGAAUGUCUUAAGCUCCCAUAUCCUCAUCUUAGCUUUUGCUCUUUGCUCCACUAAAGCAAAUCUCCAUUUAUUUGGCCUUUUCUCAGAGGGACAAUUUUCCCAAACAUAUCAUCAUCCAUGUAGACAUGGAACCUUUUGGGACCCUCUCUAAGGUCUUUACAUCAUCCUGCAAUUGUACCUUCCAAGCAGAACACCAAUACAAGCUUAACUGGAGUGGGAUGAUGUGGUUGGGUAUGGAUACAGUCAGAUUCUGCCUUUCCAAGCCUUGCUUCUGUGAGAGCUAAACAAUUUCAGGGAGCUUGCAGCCCACUGUCAUCUGCAGUUGGGUUCAUUUAGAGUAGAGGCCACGUUAGCUGUAUUAUAAACAUGGUGGCCAACAAUGAAUGGCCUGGACUCAUUCUCCUCUUGGCUUGUGCAGAGAGAGGCCAGUCAGGUGGCUUAGAGACGUUGUUGGCAGGAACCAUCACUGCCUCUAUUUGGGAAUGAAGGACCAUAAAUGGUGGCUGCCUUCCAAACUGCCAAUAAAUAAGUAAAUAUAGAGAGUGUUGACAUUGGUCUCCCUGCCAAACACCAGUCUGCUUCUAUUCUCAUUUUGGGGGAAACGAAAGAGAGAAGGAUUAUUGAAUAGGCUUUUGAGAAGUAGCCUCAGUUCUACUUGGAAUCUCUUCCCUUUUUGGAAACAUUUCAGUCGGCUUUCUGGCCCUUAUUGGAGAGAGAGACAAUUCUGUCAAACAUGAGAUUGUGUUAGCUUAUUCAUAAUAAUGAUCAGCAAUAGGCUGAAAUUGAGCCACUUCUAAGGUUGAACUGUUGUCAACAGAUACUUCAGCUAUAGUUUGGAAUAACAGCUUAGCCCCUGAGAGGGAGGGUGUGAAUUUAGCAUGCAGCCAACUCCAAGACAGUUUAAGGUGCUGGCCAAGCACGUGGCACUUUAGGAAUACUCAGCUUUGGGGCUCAACUUCCUCUCAGCCCACAGAUUUACCAGGUUUUUAACCCCUGCCUCCUGAGUUAGAAGGUUUUGUGAAUUGAUUCAGUCUGAAGUUGGACAACAUGGCAGCAUGUUUCUCAGCAUGGAAGGCAUUGAGAAGACAUAGCUUGCUUACUUUUGCAUGCCUCAUGCUUAACAUGGUGUCUGUCACAUCAAAGGCACUUCAUAUCUACUUGUGCAAUGGAUGAAUGAAUUUAGAGAUGCUUUGCUUCCUCUCUGCUGUUAUCAAUAAUCUCAGACUGUUCCUGUAUUUUGAAUUACUCCAGAGCCACACUCUAGGAUAUCUGAAGUUUAGGAUUUGGCUCUUUCACAUGCUUCUGUUGCCACCUACCCAUGUCCAACUAUCUUCUCCUUAACACCUACCCCACCAGCAUGAUGGAGGGCUCUCUAUAAAGGCUCUCCUAGCCCAUGCUGCACACACUUUUUCCUGUUCUGAAGCAUGUCUCUAGAAAUUCUACACACUUGCUUCCCCCCUUUAAAAAAAUCAUUUCACUCCUUUCCUGUUCCUUUUCCCACUUCUCUUGAGAACUUUCAAGAGCCUGCAAUAUAAACAGCUCUAAAUGAGAAAAUCUGACUGAGAAACUGAGGAAAGAGAAGGCCAAGGGCCAAUGGAGGAGUCGGGCACAAUAACUUCUCUUUUCAUGAGAUUCGGUGGGGUUUUCUCCUUGGAUGGCUGGUCUCCUGGGCAGAGCUGCUAGCCUUAAAGGGCCACAUACGUUAGAUUUCCACGGUUGUGUUUUGUUUGUUUGUUUGUUUGUUUUUGAGAUGGAGUCCCGCCCUGUCGCCCAGGCUGGAGUGCAAUGGCGCGAUCUCAGUUUACUGCAACCUCCACCUCCCGGGUUCAAGCGAUUCCCUUGCCUCAGCCUCCCAUGUAGCUGUGACUACAGGCACACACUACCAUGACUGGCUAAUUUUUUUUUUUUUUUUGUAUUUUUAGUAGAGACGGGGUUUCACCAUGUUGACCAGGGUGGUCUCGAACUCUUGACCUCAGGUGAUCCACCUGCCUUCGCCUCCCAAAGUGCUGGGAUUACCGCAUGAGCGCACCCGGCCUCCAUGGUUGUUUUGACAGCUGAAGUGCAAAGGAAUUAAUUUUUCUAUUUUAUGUUAUUUUAAAAAUAAUUUUACCUUUUAUUUUAGAUUCAGGGGGUACAUGUAUAGGUUUGUUACAUGGGUAUAUCGCAUGAUACUGAGUUUUGAGUUAUGAAUAACCCUGUCACCCAAGUAGUGAGUAUAGUAUCCAAUAGUUAUUAUAGUUUUUCAGCCCUUUCCCCUCUUUCUUACUGGCCCCUACCCCCAGUAGUCCCCAGUGUCUACUGUUCCCAUCUUUAUGGCCAUGUGUACCCAAUGCUUAGAUGCCACUUAUAAGUGAGAACAUGUGGUAUUUUGUUUUCUGUUCCUGUGUUAGACAUUAACCCUUUAAGUCAAAGUCUUCUAUAGUUUAGUUACUGCUUUUCUUCAAAGUGUGAUUUAUUAUUCACCUCUUAAGGCAUGAGUGUCAGAGCACAUUCACACGCACACACACUGGAUGCUACUGGGUUUUUUACGAGUUUAGACAUGACCGAUUUCCCUGCACAUCCUCACGGCAUCUGAAUAACCCAAGACUUCCUACUAAUGGUUUCAAGAGGAGACUUUCAGGUAAUUAGGGAGAUUCUGUUUUCCAAGAAAAGCUCUUCUUUUCAGAAGUCUGAUUCCAAGGAGUUGUAGAUGAUUGCUUCAUUUUGGGAGCUGGUAUAGUUUAACGAGCAGCUUAUGCCACACUGAUCUCUAGCAUAUUUGUAUCGACAAGGAGACACAAGCCUGCAUGAUUGUGGUUUUUUCCCUAGGUUCCUAAUAGACCUUUGUUAUUUAUAUUUUUAAUUGUGUGAAAGUACCUGAAAGCUUAGUGGCAAAGAAGACAGUUGUAAAAAAUUGAAUAAAUAAAUACAUUUAAAAAAAUCCAAGUUAGUGAUGUCUGACUUCCUCUAUUCAUGUUAUUGCUACUCUUGUUGCUUUUUGGUUUUUGUUUUGCUUCUUGACUGUUGUUGUUUUCCAGGAAAGCUGUCAUUUAUCGUGAGAACAAGAGCAGCCAUGUGUUGAUUUUUCUGGAUUCUUUUUGGAUACUAUCCCAGUGCUAAUGAAGGCCCUUCCAAAGUGCUAAAGAGCUGGUGCCAAAAUCAGUUACGCUGAAAACAAUAGAGAGUGGUACACAGACAGCAUAUAUAUACCCGUAUAUGUAUACGCACGCCUCGAUAUCUGAAUUAAUACGUGUGUGUGCACCUCCCUCUGUUUAUGCAAAUAUACACACGCAUCUGUGCAAACACAUAAUGUGUGCGCCGGAGCUACACUGAGGAGAAUGUGACGGCUGCAUUUUAAUAAAAGGACUUUUUAUAGCUGCUUGCAGAAAAUUUUUCUUUGAUCAAGGGAUGAGCAAAGUUUCUAAAUGUUGCAGCGCCCGAAUUUGUCAGUUUGGAAGCUACUAAAAAUGUACUUUCAUCAGUUAAAAAAUUUAGGGAGGAAAAUAAAUAUUAUAGAUAGUAUUUGUUUUACUAGGAGAUGAGGAUACUACUACAAGAAGCACCUGGAAAGUGCUUAGCAUAGGCUUGGUUGCUGUGCUUAUAUUAACAAAUUCUUUAACAUGGAUGUUUGCGUACUUUAGAGGUAGUUUAUUAGCUGAAAGAGGGGACAUUUUGUAGCUGGGCUCUCUGUGCCCUCAAUAGAUUUUCCCUGCCUUUCUCCCAAUGUGUAAUUAUUCUGUCCUCAAUUUGUUUACACAGCUUGGAGACGGGGACAGAGUUCUCUGGCGACCAUGCAGCGGCGUGCAAUCGCCCUAAAGAGAAACAUUUAGAAGCGAUAAAACCUAAAUGCCCUGCCAUGCACCAUUACAUCCCACAGUUAUUCAAAUUUAGUAAGUUAAAUUAAAUAAUAUCAAAUAACUUGAUUUCGGGGCUUUAAAAAUUCAUCUCUAUGGUGCCCAGUAGUCAAUUUCCUUUAUUAUUAUUGUUCAUCAAGUAGGAUUUAUGUUUUUUAUGAAUCAGGAUCCUCGCCUGCGCCAUCCGCAGCGCUCGUGGCGGGCCCGGUGAGUCGCAGCUCGGAGCGCCAUCUACCGGCUGUUUUCUGCACGGCCGCCGGGAGGCUGCGCGCCGGCCCCAGGGUGGGGGAGAGGCCCAGGGAGCCAGGACGGCCCAGCGCGCUGGCCCUGAAAACAUCAGAGACAGGACAGAGCUCUCAGCCGCUGUGCUCACAGCUUCUUUGGUCUCGGUCACUGGGGGUCCGCCUGAAGUCGCAGGGAGAAGCCGGAGAGACUGGCUGCUGAGGCUGGAGGAGUUUUUCUUCUGCUGCAAAGCUGACACGUGUGGUGGUGGUGUUCCGCGCCUCCCGUUCUUCUUUAUAAAAGCCCAGACAUCCAAUUAAACUGCUGUGUCCCGGCGUAUCUGGGAAGCCAUUCCUGCAUGACUCAAAGCCUUUCUCUGCUCUCGCACAUUCCUGUUAGACGAGGACACUGGAUGUUUAGGCACAGUAGCUGCUGAUGCCAAAAAGUCCCCCAGGGAAAGACAAUGAUAAAUUUUGUCAUGUGUUAUGUUUUUAAAAAGUAUUUUACUUCCAGGGAAAUCUUUUCCCUUUAACAUUUCUGAAAAGGAGUUGAAUUCUGGUGUGGUGGGGGCAAUGGCAAGCCAUUGGUUUUCUUAGUGGCAGGUUUCCAUUUACGCUUAAUUUGAUUGUAGUUUAGCAAAUAAACAACCAUCAGACAAUGGCAGUGUGUGUUGAAGGAAGGAAAUCCCUUCAAAGCAAAGUUAAACUAUUCCCUAAUUCAAACCUCUCUGGCACCUUUGUUUGAUCUAUCUUGCUUCAGUAAAGUUCCAUGAGUGUGACACUUAGAAGUUUGCUCACAUUUUCAAGUAAUAUCAUAAUCCGAGCAUCCCAACAGGGCAUCCAAGAAAUUCCUUUUCUUCUCUAAGCUUCUAAACAGAGUGCUCAGCAUGGAUAUGUGUGUCUGAAAGUGCCUUCCAACUGAUCAGCUGUCUCCUCUCUCUCUCCCCCCAGUCAAGUGUUUCAACAUAGCAACAGAUGGUGUUUUAAGCUUUUUGCUGAGUUUAGUAUGGUCUUUUUUUGCUUUCCCAGGAGGACUGUGGUGAUAAGUCCACUCUGCCAUUAAUAAGUUCAAAUGAGAUGGUACAACUUUCUCUUAGAAAUUAAACUAACUUCACUGAGUCCCAUGAUUUAGUGUUGUUAAUGCAUUUUUCUUUCUGUUUUUCUUUUCUUUUUUUUCUUUCUUUUUUUUUUUUAGACAGAGUCUUGCUGUCACCCAGGCUGCAGUGCAGUGGCGUGAUCUCUGCUCACUGCAACCUCUGCUUCCCGGGUUCAAGCAAUUCUCUUGCCUCAUCCUCCUGAGUAGCUGGGAUUAGAGGUAUGUGCCACCACGCCCGGCUAAUUUUUUGUAUUUUUAGUGGAGAUGGGGUUUCACCAUGUUUGCCAAGCUGGUCUUGAACUCCUGACCUCAGGUGAUACUCCUGCCUCGGCCUCCAAGUGCUGGGAUUACAGGCAUGAGCCACCAUGCCCAGGCGUUAAAGCAUUUUUCAAAAGGAGUUCUCCUUCCCUUUCCUUAAAAGUAAACCUCUCUCUCUACCUUAUACCAUCACUCUAUAGUUUCCAGGCAUUUUCUUCAGAUGUUUGUGCAGAAAAGAAAUGUAAGAAAAAAGUUGCCAGACUGGAAGCAAAAUCACACAAUUUAUAUUUAUUUUGCAUGUGUUAGGUUACAAAUCUCUGGAGAUUUUAAGAUCAUUCUACUCUUCAAGCAAGAGUCAAAACUAAGUAACAUCCUCCAUUUGACUUAAGAGGAACAGAGUGAAUCAUGCUAGAAGGUCUUUUUUCUGAGACUGCAUUUACCAAAGAAAAUCCAAUUCUUAAAGGACCUCCAGAGAGCCUUCCUCCUUGUUGUUCAGUGGUGUGAGGAAAGAUCAGAGACUCUUUUGCUAGGCUGUUGAAGUUCGAGGUGAAAUCAUCUUUUCUUCACUUGUUAACUGAAGGCAAACCCUUCGAAAUAUCCUGGCCUUGUUGUUCAUGUUGUUUUUGCAUUUUUAUCAUCAGGGUCACUUUUGUUAUAGAUUUGUCAUAGUGUGGAUCAACCUGCAUUCUUGUCAGGGUUUGCAAGCCUCCCUGCCAACGUGCUGAUCCAGUGCCUGUCCUGGAGUUACCCACCUCAUCCUGGUCUGUCUUUCUUAGAACAAUGACUUUCUAGCUCUAGCCUAAUACAAUAAUUUGUUUGGUGGUUUAAAGGAGUUGGCCAAGAAACACAGGCAAGAGCUAGCAUUCCCAAACUUAAUCCUUAAUCUGUUUGUCUUACUUGUUUAUGGAGAAAAACAGAAACAAAAUCACCCUAAGAUUGUGCUAUCUGAAACCAAAACACCUCCAGGAAGAUGUUCCAGGCUGAAUGUCCCACCCCCCUUCCCUCCCCCUGCUACCCCUCCAAUUCACAUGUUGAAGUUCUAAUGCCCAGUACCUCAGAAUGAGACUGUGUUUGGAGACAGGGUCUUUAUAGAGGUACUUAAGUUAGAAUAAGGUUAUUAGGAUGGGCUUUAUCCAAUAUGGUGAGUGUUCUUAUAAGAGGAGGAAAUUUAGAUACAGACACGAGCAGAGGGAAGACCCUCUUCAUGAGAAGACACAGAAAGCAGACAGCCAUCUAAAGCCAAGGAGAGAGGCCUGGAAUGGUCUUUCUCUCACAGUUCUCAAGAGGAACCAACCUUGCCUACACCUUGAUUUUGGACUUCCAGCCUUCAGAACUGUGAGACAAUAAAUGUCUGCUGUUUAAGUCACACAGUCUGUGACGCUUUGUUAUGGCAACCCCAGCCCUAGCUGAGGUGAGGGAAUUAAUUCAGUCAUCCAUAUAUUUUGAUAUUCCAAAAUAACUUCCAUUAUUUAGAAGAGCCUGCAGGCAGGGAGAUGUGGUGUGCUUUGGGAAUUCCUUGAUGGUGCAUUAAACGAGGCCCU